GAUGAACGCUAGCGGCAGGCUUAACACAUGCAAGUCGAGGGGUAUGCCGAUUUAUCGGCAGAGACCGGCGCACGGGUGCGUAACGCGUAUGCAAUCUACCUUUCACAGAGGGAUAGCCCAGAGAAAUUUGGAUUAAUACCUCAUAGUAUAGCAGUUUCGCAUGAAACCACUAUUAAAGUUCCAACGGUGAAAGAUGAGCAUGCGUCCCAUUAGUUAGAUGGUAAGGUAACGGCUUACCAUGGCUACGAUGGGUAGGGGUCCUGAGAGGGAGAUCCCCCACACUGGUACUGAGACACGGACCAGACUCCUACGGGAGGCAGCAGUGAGGAAUAUUGGUCAAUGGACGCAAGUCUGAACCAGCCAUGCCGCGUGCAGGAUGACGGUUCUAUGGAUUGUAAACUGCUUUGUACGAGAAGAAACAACAUUACGUGUAAUGUCUUGACGGUAUCGUAAGAAUAAGGAUCGGCUAACUCCGUGCCAG
rnacentral:rRNA from 1 species